ACUCCUACGGGAGGCAGCAGUGGGGAAUUUUGGACAAUGGGCGAAAGCCUGAUCCAGCAAUGCCGCGUGAGUGAAGAAGGCCUUCGGGUUGUAAAGCUCUUUUGUCAGGGAAGAAACGGUGAAAGCUAAUAUCUUUUGCUAAUGACGGUACCUGAAGAAUAAGCACCGGCUAACUACGUGCCAGCAGCCGCGGUAAUACGUAGGGUGCAAGCGUUAAUCGGAAUUACUGGGCGUAAAGCGUGCGCAGGCGGUUUUGUAAGUCUGAUGUGAAAUCCCCGGGCUCAACCUGGGAAUUGCAUUGGAAACUGCGAGGCUAGAAUCUGGCAGAGGGGGGUAGAAUUCCACGUGUAGCAGUGAAAUGCGUAGAUAUGUGGAGGAACACCGAUGGCGAAGGCAGCCCCCUGGGUCAAGAUUGACGCUCAUGCACGAAAGCGUGGGGAGCAAACAGGAUUAGAAACCCCAGUAGUCCCAUGAU
rnacentral:rRNA from 1 species